rnacentral:misc_RNA from 1 species
CUUGGAAGUUAUUUUAUGACCAUACAAAUAUAAAUUUUGAUGUAAAGAAUUCUCAUUUAAAAAUUCAUAUAAAAAAUUGAUUAGAAGAGAGUUCAUAUACUAUGUUCCACUUCCACAAGGCAUUUGUAAAUCUAUCACAGAUGAACUAAAAGUACGUUAACUAAUUUCCUGAGAAUUAAUCUACAAAUGUAGCUCACAGUGCCACAAUUGCUACAAAUUGAUAUUUUUGCUAUUCGUGUAGGCAUAGUUAUUGCGUAAAGAAGUCCAAACUAGGAAAAGGGAUCAUUGCUAGAUGUUGAUGGGCCACAAAAGAGCACCCGUUAUUAAAUUUUUCCGCCACUGGAUGGGGUACUGGUUAGUGGUUACUGUGUGUAUCCACAAUUUGAACCUUUGGCUGUUGGACAGCCAAUGAUAUACCCGUUGAUGCUUCUCAUACAAUCUUGUUGGUUAUCCAUCCAAAAUCAAGGACCAAUAUCCAAAUGAGAAUGUCUUCAAGUGGCAUAGCAACUUACUUAACUGGACAGAAAGAUGAAAACUGCCGCCAAACACAGAAGAUCAGUGUAGCUUGCUGGCCAACCUAGAGUUUCUUCUUGAAAUAAUCUCAGCUGCCCAGCUCUUUCCUAUUUCAGUCUGAAAUUUUCCUGCUGUUGAAAGGAAAAACUCAUCCAGCACCUUCCCAUGUUCUGCAAAACCAGGAUAAUAUUAAAUGAGAAAAUAGCUCACAGACAAAAAAGUGGAUAAACUCAUCUGAAAACUUACCCAGUUCAUACUCCAAUGCUUGCAAAAUCAUCUCAACUUUGUCAAAAUCUUUCACAAGGUUGGCCUCCAAGGAAGCAUUGUUUUCAUACUCUGCCCAUAAUUCUUUGAUCUCCACAGCUGCAAGAAUAAAUUAGUCAAUAACACACAAUUCAAAUAUGAAACUGAUCAGCAAUCUAAGAUUGCCAAGAUAACAAGGGCUAGCAAGUACCCCUCAUUCCUCCACCAAGAACUUCACACAUUUCAUUUAAGGCUGCUUGCUCCCGUCCGCUCUUUUUUUUUUUUUAGGCACACCAUCAGAUGGUGUUAUAUCUCCGACAAUAGCUUUCUCGGUUCACACCAGUAAGAUCAUCAGCAACGAGAAACACCAAAGCCAUGCGAUACAUAUGAUCAGCAAUUGAUUCUGGACCUUUUAUCCCAUGGGUGAUCCAUCCUCUCCGUUUUGUAGUCCCAGUAGUGUUGCCCAGGUUCUUCGGUCACGAAGUUGCCUGCGUUGACAUUUUUUUUUUCUUUUUUGUUGCCUUGCAACAAUAAAGUUUUGCUUUGGUUUCCUCUUGAACAGACCAUCAACAAACAUCAAGAGAUAGAAAAUAAUUUAUUAGUUGCAGAUGUUACAAUUCAAGUUUCAAUACACUGCCAAAGGUUAAGCAAUGGUGAUGUUGCACAGGUAGGAAGUCAAUGCAAUUAAGCAGUAAAAAAUUAACAUUCAGCAAAAACUUAUAUAAUGUAUGUGCUCAUAGCAUUCUUCUUAGAACAUCAAAGGGCUAUGCUCAUAGUAAAGACAAUUAUUUAAAAAGAAAAGGUAUUUUGCACACGUCAAUAGUCCAGAUUCCAAAUAACUUGAUAUUAUAGUUACUUCAAAGUUUAAACAAAUAUAAGAAAGAUAGAUAGAUGAUAAAUUGAUUAUAGAGCAACAAAUUAACACCAAUGGGAUUGUUUCGUGCCAUUCUCUGAUAAAGAGAGUUUAAGUUUCAUUGAUUAAUCCAACAAUACAAUGGCAAAAACAGUUAACCUGCUGUUUUGGUAGUUGCAACAUAACCUGCUCAGGUUUGAAUGAAGAAGACCAUUUUUGUUGACUUCUGAAUGAUGUAUUUGUGGGGUAAAUUGAUCAAAGUGUCAAACAGAGAAUACAACAGUUUGAGCAAUUCAAAUGCUAUUGAUAUCAUAGGCAUCUAAACUAAAACUACUAACAAAAUUAUCACGAGUAGGUAAAGAUUAAAUAGUUUACUCACAUGCUUCUGCACUGGCAUUCACUUGGGCAAAGACCUUUAAAUGGUUUCUCCUGAGGCUUGAAAUUGCUUGGUCAAGAAUAUUUGGGACCAAAAAAAGUUUGAUGAAGUAAUUGGGUGUUUGAUGCAGAGAGUUCCCAUGCUUGCAAAUAAUUAGACCUUUUUAUGCUUACAAGUUUCAGAUUCUUGAGAGAUUAGUUGAGGUUCGUGUUUAAGAAAAUGAUAGCAUAUGGUUGUGGGUGUUUCGCGAUGUAACAAAGAAGGGGAUGUGUGGGUCAAGACAACAAUAAUGGAAGGGAAUGGGAAACAGACUCGAGAGGGAGGCGAUGAUAUGGAGCAACAUAUGGGUUAGGUUGAAAGAAGAAUAACUUCGGAUGGUGGAGAUUAAUGGCUUGGCAGUGACUGAAACAAAGAAAUCAAACAUCUGAACAUGUGGCGUUUUGGGCUACAUGCAAUGCAAGAGAGUCGCAUGUAAAAUUUUUGUCUGAGACAACCAUAGAA